AGAGUUUGAUCAUGGCUCAGAUUGAACGCUGGCGGCAUGCUUAAUACAUGCAAGUCGAACGGUAACAGAUUCUUCGGAAUGCUGACGAGUGGCGGACGGGUGAGUAAUACAUAGGAAUCUGCCCAUGUAGUGGGGGACAACUUGGGGAAACUCAAGCUAAUACCGCAUAAUUCCUACGGGAUAAAGAGGGCCACUGCUUGCAAGCUCUUGCUACUGGAUGAGCCUAUGUCGGAUUAGUUAGUUGGUAAGGUAAUGGCUUACCAAGACAGCGAUCCGUAGCUGGUUUGAGAGGAUGAUCAGCCACACUGGGACUGAGACACGGCCCAGACUCCUACGGGAGGCAGCAGUAGGGAGUAUUGGACAAUGGGCGCAAGCCUGAUCCAGCAAUGCCGCGUGUGUGAAGAAGGCCUGCGGGUUGUAAAGCACUUUCAAUUGGGAAGAAAGAUUAUGAGUUAAUACCUUAUAAUAUUGACGU
rnacentral:rRNA from 1 species